rnacentral:rRNA from 1 species
AUGAAGAUCAAUGUUGACGACACGCUAGCAAGGAACAGACGCGUUGGGGUGGCUGCUGCCAUAUGUCGAGAUUCAAAUGGCAAUUUUCUAGGCUCUUCAGCAGUUGUGUUUGGGGGCACUCUGGACCUAAUGAUCCUGGAAACAUAUGCAUGUAGGGAGGCUUUUUCUCUUGCAGAAGACCUGAAUGAGCAUGAUAUUCUGGUGGCUUCAGACUGCCAAGGGGUGGUGAACGAUAUGAAUGGAGGGAUAUGAGGUCCCAAUGCAGUUGUAAUACAUGAAAUAAUAGACUAUGGAGCUAGUUUUUAUUCUUGCUCGUUUGUUCAUGAGCGGAGGAACUUUAAUUUCGAGGCUCAUAAUCUCGCUAAAUUUGCAUGUAAUCUUGGUAUAGGUAGACAUGUUUGGUUGGGUACUCCUGAUGACCCAAGCCAUGUACCUAUGAACAUUGUUUUGAAUCAAUAA